rnacentral:lncRNA from 1 species
AAUUUUUACGUGUCUUUGUCAAUUUGCUGAAAUAUUUCAUUGCAGUAUAUUUGUUCUGCUGUUAAUCAUGAUUAAAACCCUUUUAGCAAGGUUUGGACUUGCAGAUCACAAGCAGUUUAAGAGAAAGACAACUGCAUCGUAGCUUGAAAUGAAUUGAAGCAAUUUUAGAAUACCCGAGAGAUGGCCCAUUUAAUAAGAAGCCAAGAACCACAAUACAAACGCCUGUAAAGGAAAUAACUUGCUAUUUUCUGUCUUUUACCCUUUGGCUCGAGUUGUCAAAUAUAUCACAAUAGAUCAUUGAAAGACGACCAACCGCGCACACGCUCACCCAAUGUAGGCUUGCUGUCCGAAGACCCAAAAAAAUCCUGAAACAUACCAAGCAAUUCCCCUCGUGAUACAACACAAUUAUUGCUUGAAAGCCCUGGCUUGCAGCGAACUCCAAAAUUUUUGUACCCCACUUAGCCCCAUCCUUGCCGUGGUAAGACUCGAGUUAUCCACACAAAACUGCAACCCGGCGAUCUCACAUUGACCAGUCUGGUGAACAUAAAACUUAAAAUAGACAGAAUACUGAAAUACCCAGCUAAAAGGUCACCUCGCUGUCCGAAGACCCAAAAAAAUCCUGAAACAUACCAAGCAAUUCCCCUCGUGAUACAAUACAAUUAUUGCUUGAAAGCUUCCUCACUUGCAUCACUAUGUUUUUCUGCUCAGUCGGACAGAUACAAAUCUUUGUAUCAUCUACCACAUAUAUUUUUAAGGUUAAUGAUCAACUCAUUAAUUAUAGACAGGAACAAAUCUUUGUAUCAUCUACCACGGACAUUUUUCUUAGCUUCAGAAAUAUGGAACAUC